rnacentral:rRNA from 1 species
UGAGCAGGAAAGCAGGGGACCGCAAGGCCUUGCGCUCUUUGAGCGGCCGAUGUCAGAUUAGCUAGUUGGUGAGGUAAAGGCUUACCAAGGCGACGAUCUGUAGCGGGUCUGAGAGGAUGAUCCGCCACACUGGAACUGAGACACGGUCCAGACUCCUACGGGAGGCAGCAGUGGGGAAUUUUGGACAAUGGGGGCAACCCUGAUCCAGCCAUGCCGCGUGAGUGAAGAAGGCCUUCGGGUUGUAAAGCUCUUUCGGCCGGGAAGAAAUCGCAUGGGCCAAUACCCUGUGUGGAUGACGGUACCGGAAUAAGAAGCACCGGCUAACUACGUGCCAGCAGCCGCGGUAAUACGUAGGGUGCGAGCGUUAAUCGGAAUUACUGGGCGUAAAGCGUGCGCAGGCGGUUUUGUAAGACAGGCGUGAAAUCCCCGGGCUUAACCUGGGAACUGCGUUUGUGACUGCAAGGCUAGAGUACGGCAGAGGGGGGUGGAAUUCCACGUGUAGCAGUGAAAUGCGUAGAGAUGUGGAGGGACACCAAUGGCGAAGGCAGCCCCCUGGGUCGAUACUGACGCUCAUGCACGAAAGCGUGGGUAGCAAACAGGAUUAGAUACCCUGGUAGUCCACGCCCUAAACUAUGUCAACUAGGUGUUGGGUGGGUAAAACCAUUUAGUACCGUAGCUAACGCGUGAAGUUGACCGCCUGGGGAGUACGGCCGCAAGGUUAAAACUCAAAGGAAUUGACGGGGACCCGCACAAGCGGUGGAUGAUGUGGAUUAAUUCGAUGCAACGCGAAAAACCUUACCUACCCUUGACAUGCCAGGAACUUGCCAGAGAUGGCUUGGUGCCCGAAAGGGAGCCUGGACACAGGUGCUGCAUGGCUGUCGUCAGCUCGUGUCGUGAGAUGUUGGGUUAAGUCCCGCAACGAGCGCAACCCUUGUCGUUAAUUGCCAUCAUUUAGUUGGGCACUUUAACGAGACUGCCGGUGACAAACCGGAGGAAGGUGGGGAUGACGUCAAGUCCUCAUGGCCCUUAUGGGUAGGGCUUCACACGUCAUACAAUGGUCGGUACAAAGGGUUGCCAAGCCGCGAGGCGGAGCCAAUCCCAGAAAGCCGAUCGUAGUCCGGAUUGCAGGCUGCAACUCGCCUGCAUGAAGUCGGAAUCGCUAGUAAUCGUGGAUCAGCAUGUCACGGUGAAUACGUUCCCGGGUCUUGUACACACCGCCCGUCACACCAUGGGAGCGGGUUCCGCCAGAAGUAGGUAGCCUAACCGCAAGGGGGGCGCUUACCACGGCGGGGUUCGUGACUGGGGUGAAGUCGUAACAAGGUA